CUGAAGUCAAGACAGCUAAGGACUGAAAGCAUCUUGUGGAUUAGCAACCCAGCAAUCACUGGAUCCCUUCUGCUUCACUGCCUAGGAGCAAUGUUCAGACCAGCUGUGAUUUGUGUCUCAUCUCAUCUCAAACCAAUACCACUACUGAAUUUGCUUUUUUAAUAUGAAUGGCUUUCAUGUUGUCUAUGAGUUGAUUUUAAAAAGUGUGCUGUGCUUCAA